rnacentral:rRNA from 1 species
UACGUAGGGCGCAAGCGUUGUCCGGAAUUAUUGGGCGUAAAGAGCUCGUAGGCGGUUUGUCGCGUCGGAUGUGAAAGCCCCGGGCUUAACCUGGGAAUGGCCGUUGAAACUGGCGAACUGGAGUGUGGCAGAGGGGGGUGGAAUUCCGCGUGUAGCAGUGAAAUGCGUAGAGAUGCGGAGGAACACCGAUGGCGAAGGCAGCCCCCUGGGCUAACACUGACGCUCAGGCACGAAAGCGUGGGGAGUAAACAGG